CUACCCUUUACCAGGCCACAUUGUGGGGACUCUUCAACCACUCAGUGCCAUGGAGUUCUACUCUUCUAUUCUUCCAAACCUGUUAAUGAUGCAACACAAACAAACUUCACAACAACCAACAACUUUGAGAAAAGUCUUAAAACUACUUUCCAUUUGUUAUUUAUGUUAAUUUGGAGACGAGCACCAGAUUUAUGGUUGAUGAUUCCAUUAACUCACCACCUGUAUAACCAUAUUUAUAUUAUUAUUCAAAUAUACUCCUUCACGUUGACUUCAUUUGAUUGUCCUUGACGUGGAACUGACAGCGUUUUAACUACUUUGCAGAUAUGAAACAGACAAUCAUAUCAGUAAAAAAUAUACAAUUCCCAGUUUAUGCUACAAAACCAACUUGUCAGAGGUUUUAAAAAUAGGUUAUAUUUGACAAGAACAUCCAUGACGUACAGCAAGGCAUUGUCAGAAUAAAUGGAUAUAGUUCAAUGCAUGAUUAAUAUAGUCCCAAAAAAUUGCUAUCAGGUUGUAAAUCACAGCUGGCCUGGUACACUGCAGCCUCCACCCAAUUCGGGAUGCUUGGUUUGUUUCAAUGGCGCAAUAUUUUGGACAAAAACAGCUGGGAAUGUCAAUAUAUUCAAACUAGCAAGGGCAGUGAUCACAAGUCAGUCAUAAUGUAGCUAAUAGGCUAGCGUAUCUAUUCAGCAAGGUAAAAACACUGAGCUAAACGUUAGCUAGCUAGCUUCUGGGAAGUAUUGGGAGGAUGUCGAGUCAUUGGAGCACUCUCAUCUGAGCGCCAGGGCGCAGAACCACUGAUGAGUUUACGACGCGCAACGAAAGAAACGUAAUUCAAUUGUUGCCAGCAGCACAGUUAGUCACUAACUCUCUAGAUCAAAUGACAACAGCCUAACCAGCUUUGCUAGGGUGCGUAAAAUGGUCAGAGUGAGAUGUUCUCUCAUUUGUGUCAGAAGUAGCUAGCCAACUUUAGGCAGAGAUGGCUUGGGUGCAUGACUGCUGUUGAGGGACGCUGGGAUCAACGCUCCUCCUCGGACAGAGCGGACAGAGAGCGCACACUGCAC
ensembl:lncRNA